UUGAGAGUAAGCAUUACACAAUAUCCAAGAUGAUCUUUUUGAAAAAAAGAGAAUAGAUCAUCCAUUUUUCUACCGCAUAUCCUAGUUUGACACCAAGCAAUGAAGCUUUUUCUCUAAAAGAAUUUUCCUAAAUUCUUUUUUACUAAGAGUUUGUCAUUAAUCAAAAUUUUUAUAUAUACACAAUUAGGUAUUGUGAGGAGCCUAAUAAGCUCUUUCACUGGAAAGGAAAGCGUCAAA
rnacentral:lncRNA from 1 species